UACGGGGGGGCAAGCGUUGUUCGGAAUUACUGGGCGUAAAGGGCUCGUAGGCGGCCAACUAAGUCAGACGUGAAAUCCCUCGGCUUAACCGGGGAACUGCGUCUGAUACUGGAUGGCUUGAGUUCGGGAGAGGGAUGCGGAAUUCCAGGUGUAGCGGUGAAAUGCGUAGAUAUCUGGAGGAACACCGGUGGCGAAGGCGGCAUCCUGGACCGACACUGACACUGAGGAGCGAAAGCCAGGGGAGCAAACGGG
rnacentral:rRNA from 1 species